rnacentral:rRNA from 1 species
AUACGGAGGGUCCAAGCGUUAUCCGGAAUCAUUGGGUUUAAAGGGUCCGCAGGCGGUCAAUUAAGUCAGAGGUGAAAGCCCAUCGCUCUACGAUGGAACUGCCUUUGAUACUGGUUGACUUGAGUUAUACGGAAGUAGAUAGAAUAAGUAGUGUAGCGGUGAAAUGCAUAGAUAUUACUUAGAAUACCGAUUGCGAAGGCAGUCUACUACGUAUAUACUGACGCUGAGGGACGAAAGCGUGGGGAGCGAACAGGAUUAGAAACCCGGGUAGUCC